rnacentral:misc_RNA from 1 species
UUGAAUAAACUUGGUUGGGUUGCUGCUGGCUCUCAGGAGCAUGUGCACACUCAUUCCAUUUUUCACCACCUGUGCACACACUGUAGGCCUGAACGACACUUUUUCAAGGAAACUUGGGUUUGAGAACUGCGGUGAAUAUCAUCAGCUGUUCUUGCAUUUCAGGUCUAUGUUUUAAACAUAUACUCCAUUACAAGUCAUAGAAUGUUAAUUUAUUGGCCUUUGUGCCUUUGAAACUUAAUACAACUUUCAACAACGGAUCUCUUGGCUCUCGCAUCGAUGAAGAACGCAGCGAAAUGCGAUAAGUAAUGUGAAUUGCAGAAUUCAGUGAAUCAUCGAAUCUUUGAACGCACCUUGCGCUCCUUGGUAUUCCGAGGAGCAUGCCUGUUUGAGUGUCAUGAAAUUCUCAACCUUUCUGGCUUUUUGUAAGCUGGGUCAGGCUUGGAUUGUGGGAGUUGCUGGUUUCUUCUGCGAUCAGCUCUUCUUAAAUUGAUUAGCAAAAUUCUUGCUGGACCAUCUUUGGUAUGAUAAUUAUCUAUACCAUUGAGGGGCACAGCUUCCACCUGGGCCGGGGAUCUCAGGCUCUGCUUGGAUUUAUUUUCAAGUGUUCGAUUCAACCGUUUUGAAGCACCAGCUUAGGCACAGACAUUAACUUGUUUGAUGGUGUUGAAUAACUUCAGGUUGACGAAGCGAGGCGUUUCCUUAGGGAAGCGCUCACGAGAGCAAGCAAUGUCAGAGCAUCAUCUGAUGUACUGAUAUGUGCACUGUCAUAUUCCUGUACCUACCCUAGCUACUACGUGGCUUUGAUGGGUCUGGUCAAACCAUGACCUGAACAUAUCCCUGGCGUGGAAGGAUCUUGCUUCUAAUGUUGUUCCUAGGAACAAAAUCUUUUGACUAU